rnacentral:rRNA from 1 species
UACGUAGGGUGCGAGCGUUGUCCGGAUUUAUUGGGCGUAAAGAGCUUGUAGGCGGCUCGUCGCGUCGGGUGUGAAAACUUGCGGCUUAACCGCAAGCCUGCACCCGAUACGGGCGGGCUAGAGUUCGGCAGGGGAGACUGGAAUUCCUGGUGUAGCGGUGGAAUGCGCAGAUAUCAGGAGGAACACCGGUGGCGAAGGCGGGUCUCUGGGCCGAUACUGACGCUGAGGUGCGAAAGCGUGGGGAGCAAACAGG